rnacentral:lncRNA from 1 species
UUAUUUUUUUUACUCUCUCUCUCUCUCUCUUUUUCUCUUUCUCUUUCUCUUUCUUUCCUUCGAAUUCUUUCUUAUCAGUUCGAUUGUGUCUCAUUCGAAACGCUCGUAACGUUUUUCGCGCCUGUUUUCUUGCGAGAUAAAGUUUUACGCACUAGAAUUAGUUUCGAGCGUGUGUUUGUUUGAUCGUUUUUUUAAGAAAAAGAAAGAAUUAGUUUUUGUCUUUUGUGUUUUUUCUUUUUCAUUAUUCUUGUUUUGUAUAUUUUUGUUUUUUUUUUUUUAAAUAAAAGAAGAGGAUGGAUUUAAAGACAAGUAGGAUUGUUAGAUCGAUUAAUAAAGGUUCUUUGAUGCACCGAAAUCGAGCGAGAAAACUUUACCGAUAGUUCACUUUAACCCACGAAGAAACGACGAAUUUCGAGCAGUAUCGUUGGACUUAAUUAGCCUAGUAGUAGAGUCGAGCCAAUGAAAAGUUUCUAUUCUUCCUGUUACUGGAUCCUCCGUUAUCUGUGGUUCACUGUUGUACGGUGAUAAGUCGUCAAAUGUGUGAGAAAAAAUCUGACGAACAACGAACUAUGAUGAAAA